UCUGCAUUCGUUUUGCCGCUGCAACCUCUCACAAUAAUACUCUUCAUAAGUUUUAUCUCUUCAUUCAGUUUUCUCUCCGCUCUUGCAAAUCCUCUAUAGUGCGACUUCAUCUUCUUCAAAUUGGUUGAUUUUCGUUGUUCCUGCAGAGCUCUUUACCUUCUUUGGGAUUACCCCCAUUUCAAUUUUCUAGGCUAAACUUGAAUCUGAAACUCUAAAGUAAUUGACUUGUAAAAGGAGAUUUUUCUCAGUUUGAGCUCACCAAAUAUCGAUGAAGAGAAAACGAAGCAAGGAAGAACAUACUCUUUCUUGAAACAGCCGGAUCCUGAUAAAGAGUGUAGAUAAAUUAGGAUUUCAUGCAACAUGAGAAAAUGGAUUCAAAAGAAAAAUUAUGUGUGUGCCAUUGCAGCUGUUCUUAGGGACCUCAGCAUUGCUGAGGGCAGGGCACUGAGGCAACACUUCUCAGGUAUUCACUUUUAGUUGGAGGGUAGGAAAAGGAACAAGCUAGCUGAUCAACUUGCUGGUAUUACACGCCAGGAAAGUAGGAAGAUGAACCACAUCAUGCAACUUCAGGAACCUACAGCUGAAUCUUUAAAGUUUUAUUAUGAGGACUUCCAUAAUUGUAGUAGUAGUAAUCUAGAAAUUAUUAGAGCAUCUGGUUGUAGCUAGAAACUUGCGUUUUUAGAAGUCUCAAACAACUUGACCAUUGAAGUUGAAAUAGGAAUUUGUUCAGCCAAGCUAAUAAUUUGCUUGAAAAAAUCCGAUGAUGGUUGAUUGACAGGUGCGACACAUUUGAAUAUCAAGCUACUAGCUAAACAUUGUGGUGUAAAGUUUUUAACUACCUGAAAAGGUAGUAGAUUAAAAUUCUAUGUGAACUGACAAGCUAUACAA